GAGACUCUGUGCGCGUGCAUAUCAAUAAGCGGAGGAAAAGAAACUAACAAGGAUUCCCCUAGUAACGGCGAGUGAAGCGGGAAGAGCUCAAAUUUGAAAUCUUAAAGGGUUUCCCUUUACGAAUUGUAGUUUAAAGAAGUGUUUUCUGUUGGAGUUUUGGUAAAAGUUCUUUGGAAUAGGACAUCAUAGAGGGUGAGAAUCCCGUAUUUGUACAGUUCCUCCUAGCUGUUGUGAUACACUUUCAACGAGUCGGAUUGUUUGGGAAUGCAGUCCAAAAUGGGUGGUAAAUUUCAUCUAAAGCUAAAUAUUGGCGAGAGACUGAUAGCGAACAAGUACCGUGAGGGAAAGAUGAAAAGAACUUUGAAAAGAGAGUUAAACAGUACGUGAAAUUGUAAAAAGGGAAGCGUUUGACACCAGUGUUGUUUUUCCGAAAAUCAAUUACGAAUGUUUUGUUUUUGAGAAGUUAUGACUUCAUCGGCUUGCUUCUCUCUUUACGAAACUUUCUUAAUGCACUUUUCGGUUAACAAGUCAACAUCAAUUUCUUUUGUUGUAAAAGGGUACGAGGAAGGUGGCUUUCUCUUCGGAGAAAGUGUUUAUAGCCUUGUACCUCUGCAAUCGGAGAGAUUGAGGUCUGCAGCGUAGAUCCUUCGGGGUUAGAUACAUUUGUGCUAAGUUAUAGCUUUUCAUAGACAACUUGUUGACUAUGUUUAGUCUUGUAGCUUACUCGCUUAUGCUAUUUUACCUACGCUUAGGAUGUUGAAGAUGUAGCACAUCAU
rnacentral:rRNA from 1 species